UGUAUUGCCCUUUAGGAUGGAAAACAGGUUUUGCAGCUUAUCAGUAGUCAUGCCCAAGGUGGGACGAAGCCAAUUAAUAUUGCCCAAUAAUUUUUGAUAAUCAUUUAAGGUGUAUAAGUUGCUAGUAUUUAAUUUAACCUUUUGAAGUCUUAUUGACCAGGAAAUUCUCCAAUAAAGGGCAUAGCCUAGUUCUUCCUGAGACACUGGACUUUUACCAUUAACAUAUCGGAUCUUACACCAGUUUUCUUGAAUAUGAUUGUUAAUCAAAUACUGGUCUUCACGGCAACUAGACUCUUUAUCUGUUUUGUGUUUGAUAGUCUUUCUGUCUAAAAAUUAUUCUCCUUGAGAGAAAAGAUGGAAGCAAUUAUUAUAACAACUUAUGCAGUACUGUUCAUGUCAUUGACUUCUGAAAACUCAUUUGGAAGUGAGUAGAAUUAAAAUUUAACCAGAGUGCUGGAUUGUUUUCAUUUGUAGCUAUAUAAAAUUAUUUUCCUCAUGGAAUAAUCUUGUCCAAAUUAGGAAAAUUAGAUAUUCUUAAUACUUACUUCUUAGGUUAAAGAGAUGAUUUGAUAUAUGACAUAAAAUUCUUUAUAUAAUAUAUUCUUGGCACAUUUACAUCUCAUUCAUCAUCUUACUCAUCAUUAUGUUUGAUGACAACUGCCAGUUCUGCUAUACAUAACUAACUUGCUCUUCAGUUUUGUCACCUUCAUUUUCAGUGAGGAGAAGUGU
rnacentral:lncRNA from 1 species